ensembl:lncRNA
AACAGAUAACUCUUUAUUUUGCAUUGCAUUUUAUUUCUAAUGCAAGGGACAGGUUUUCAGUCAAUCCUCAAAAUGUACAGAAGCAAAAAUAAUUUUGAUUUCAACUUGAUACGUUGAUAUAAAAUCAAUAAUACAAGACCAUAAAGACGAAUGCUUGAUUAAGUCAAUGUUGAUGCACAUUGAAUGCUUCAUUGAUUUACCUAUUAAUUUUUUAGAUUGCCUCAUUCAUAACUUCUGCCCAGUAUUUCCAUACCACAGAUCUAACCCUCUCUCCCACUGCUUCAAGCAGCUUCUAGAUCGAUGGCAGGAAUUUUAAAAAUCCCAGGCUGGAGGAACAGAAUUCAAAUAAAUAAAAAACUAUUUCAAUGAGUGAUUAUAUGUAAUAUAGUUAGAUUGUGGUCUCGCAGAAAGUUUUCCUCACCUUUCCUCCUUGUACUCUACAAAUACCCUUCCUUUUAAUUUCCUAUGUAAUGAAACUGAGAUUUCUUCCUGUGUCGCCAAUGGGAGGCGACAGGAAGCCAUUUUAAUGUGUUUAUUUAGUUUUGUGGUAUCAUUCAAGGCAGCAGAGCUCUGAAUAGUACCAACAUGAACAUGACGCUGUGUCUGGGCCCGGAGAGGAGAAGGAUGACUGUUAAGACUUUACUCUAGAGAUACCUUGGAACAGAUUUCCUAAACGUUUGCACUGUGUGUACGUUUGCAGAAAAAAAAAACACGUCAAGAAAGAGAAAAUAAUUACCGAAACCUUUUUCACUUACACAUGAUCUCAAUGUCAUAUUCCUUAUAUUUUCUCCUUAUCUUACUAGGUGCCAACUAGACCGGGGGUCAGUCAGUUUGCCAGGCAUUGGCUGGUCUUGUUGUCAGUGUCCUGCCAAACUGCAGUAAACUGCUGUAAUAUGUGUGAGGCACUUACUCUGGUCAGGGUGCCUGUCAGAGUGCCAGUCUGUCUCAGAACUGACCACACGUGAUGUUCUAGCUAGCUGUCUGGCAUGCAGGGCAGACUGGCUGUUCACAUAGACUGAAGGCAAGAAAAUACUUCUUUCUCACCAUUUGAGGAAUUUUGAAAUGUUAACAUGCAGAGUGCUGCUGGGCAAUAGGCCAAUAGAGGGAGACAUGGUAUUAAUAUAGGAGGCUGGCUGAGGUGCAUGGGGGGUGACGGGGGGGGUGACGGGUGGAUGUGUGGGGCGGAUGACGCACAUAAGGAGUGAGGUACUGUGGUGGUUGGAUGAGGUGUGAGGCCGUUGGGUGAUACAUAGGGGUUGGGGUGAAAUAUGUGAGGGAUGGGUGAGCCAUGUGGGGGUUUGGGUGAGGCGUGUUGAGUUGUUGGACGAAGUAUACAGGGGUAGAGUGCUUUGUGUGCAUGUGGUUUGUAAAUGAGUGUAGAUGAAGUAUGUGAAGCUGUGUUGAUGGUACCGAGGGUCUGGAUGAUGAGCAUGGGCAUUAGCUGACAUUAGGUGAGGUACUUGGGGGAGGGGAGGAAGUCUGUCUGGGGCUCUGAUGGUCGUUGACAUUUCCCGUGCGGUCCUGUCGCCAGCAUAGCAAAUCUGCUCCUGCUCAUCGUAAUGACGGCCUGCCAGCCAGCCAGACGGGGGCUAGUGCCUGUCUGUCAAUCACAGGUCUCCACGGUGAUCCAUGGACAGUCCACCAUGGCAGUUAUCAUACUGGACACCCUGGGGAGGGAGGGGGGAUAAGGAGAGGGGGAAAGAGAGAGAGAGAGACGAUGGACUUAGUGAGACAGACAUCUAAAGGUCAGCAGUCAGUCAGUUCAGACACCACAACAAUAUUUAUCUCUUCUGAUCACACAGAUAUGGAGCUUUCUUGGAAACUGGCAGACUAGGGGGAAAGAACAGGUAGGUCCUAGACCACAUCCACAUGGAGUCUGGUCUCCAACCAUACAGUAUGAUCUUUAUUUUUCUUAUCCAUGAUUGACCAGGUAGAGUUAUUAUUUACAGUAAUUGUACCACAGGAGGCUGGUGAGGGGAGGACAUGGUAACCAUGUGUUUGAUAUCAUUCCAUUGUUUAUAUUCCAGCAAUUACUAUGAGCCUGUCCUCCAGCCACCUGUGAAUUGUACCUACCAUGCUUAAAACUAACAUGCACACACACACACACACACACCCACACACACACACACACACACACACACACACACACACACACACACACACACACACACACACACACACACACACACACACACACACACACACACACACACACACACGAUGUAAAUGUAGGCCAAAAGGUGAAUUUCCUUAAAACCAGUAAGGUUAUCAGCACACUUAUAAAUGAAUCAAAUUAAUCCCAUUUCACCUAGCUCUGCUAAAUUGUCUGAUAGCUUAUAACAAUCUAAUGGCCUUGAAAACAAUUAGAGUAGCGUUAUCAUAAUCAUUAAAGGCAAUUUACACCUCCUCCACUGAGGGAUUGGUGUGAAGUGCACAUCCCUUACAGGCUAUAAUCUGACCCCAUCUAAAUGACCACGGUUGUUGAUCACUUGACCUCACAAAGGUCAGAGGUCAGGGAGUUCAAACAGCUAUCAGCGUGGUGCAGGGCUGCAGCAUCAGGAAAUAAAAACAAUGUUUCUUAGCCCGACUCGUUGAGCUCCCAUUAACCCCUUCCACGCCACUUUGGAAAUAAUCACCUGGCACUGAGCUAUCAGAAAUCCUUUACAGCCUGGUGUGUGUUUGUGUGUGUGUGACUGUAAGAUAGAGAAUUGUGAGAGUACACUUUAGUGUGUGUGUGUGUGUGUGUGUGUGU